rnacentral:rRNA from 1 species
UACGUAGGUGGCGAGCGUUGUCCGGAAUUACUGGGUGUAAAGCGCGCGUAGGCGGUAGGCCAAGUCUGCUGUGAAAUCGCCCGGCUCAACUGGGCGCGGUCGGUGGAAACUGGUCAACUGGAGGACGGUAGAGGCGAGUGGAAUUCCCGGUGUAGUGGUGAAAUGCGUAGAGAUCGGGAGGAACACCAGUGGCGAAGGCGGCUCGCUGGGCCGGACCUGACGCUGAGGCGCGAAGGCGUGGGAGCGAACGGG